AAGAACAACUCCAAUAAGGAUAAUUCGGUCAUCAUGGAUGAUCGUACUUCCUAAACAUGAUGUUUGCAUCCCGCAAGGUUGCCGUAUGGAGCCAUGGAAGUAGUACUGCAGAUCUGAGAUCUUGAAGCCUUGCUCCUGUGAUGAAGUCCCAUUUAUUCAUGUUUCUGUCACCAGUCAGCUAUUUGAUAGCCUUUUGUUUGAUUUCCCUCCACUUGUGUGUGAGAAAAUAAGAAUUAUGCUAUUUGCUUUUGCUGCUACAUAAGUGAGACUAUUUGAUAUAUUUACGUACGUGAGACUUUAUUCACUAUCCAUUUAUAUAUAUAGCAAAGUUGUGUCUUUC